GACGAACGCUGGCGGCGUGCUUAACACAUGCAAGUCGAACGGUGAAGGGAUCAGCUUGCUGGUUCUGGAUGAGUGGCGAACGGGUGAGUAACACGUGAGUAACCUGCCCCCUUCUUCUGGAUAACCGCAUGAAAGUGAGGCUAAUACGGGAUAUUCUGCGCCUGCUGCAUGGUGGGUGUGGGAAAGAUAUUGUUUCGGUGGGGGAUGGGCUCGCGGCCUAUCAGCUUGUUGGUGGGGUGAUGGCCUACCAAGGCGGUGACGGGUAGCCGGCCUGAGAGGGUGGACGGUCACACUGGGACUGAGACACGGCCCAGACUCCUACGGGAGGCAGCAGUGGGGAAUAUUGCACAAUGGGCGCAAGCCUGAUGCAGCGACGCCGCGUGAGGGAUGGAGGCCUUCGGGUUGUGAACCUCUUUCGCCAGUGAAGCAGGCCUGUCCCUUGUGGGUGGGUUGACGGUAGCUGGAUAAGAAGCGCCGGCUAACUACGUG
rnacentral:rRNA from 1 species